GAUGAACGCUGGCGGUGUGCCUAAUACAUGCAAGUCGUACGCAUUCUCGUUUCUGAUUGACGGUGCUUGCACCUAAUUGACGAGACAUUGGAAUGAGUGGCGGACGGGUGAGUAACACGUGGGUAACCUGCCCAGAAGUGGGGGAUAACAUUUGGAAACAGAUGCUAAUAACGCAUAAAAGUCAAAACCACAUGGUUUUGAUUUAAAAGAUGGCCUUUGUGCUAUCACUUCUGGAUGGACACGCGGCGUAUUAGCUAGUUGGUAAGAUAACGGCUUACCAAGGCAAUGAUACGUAGCCGAACUGAGAGGUUGAUCGGCCACAUGGGACUGAGACACGGCCCAUACUCCUACGGGAGGCAGCAGUAGGGAAUCUUCCACAAUGGGCGCAAGCCUGAUGGAGCAACACCGCGUGAGUGAAGAAGGGUUUCGGCUCGUAAAACUCUGUUGUUAAAGGAGAACGUAUCUAAGAGUAACUGCUUAGGUAGUGACGGUAUUUAACCAGAAAGCCACGGCUAACUACGUGCCAGCCGCCGCGGUAA
rnacentral:rRNA from 1 species